rnacentral:rRNA from 1 species
GUGCCAGCAGUUGCGGUAAAACGUAAAGGACAAGUAAUACACAUAAUAGGUAUAAAGAGUUAGCAAUACGGAUCUAAAAAUAAAUAUAUAAAAUAUAAAAUUUCUAUAAAAAUAUAAAAAAUAUAGAAAUUAGAUCUAGAAUCUAUAGAUGAGUUAUUAUGAGGUAUAUGAGUAGCGGUUAAAUGCGUAUAUACAUAUAUAACAACCAAUAAAGAAGUAAUAUAACUAAUACAUAGAUUGACGUUGAGUAACGAAACUUAGAGUAUCAAAUAGGACUAGUCAACCUAUAAGUUCUAAGCGUAAACGAUGUAUACUAAUAUUUAUAUUAAAAAAGAAAUAUGGAUAUAAAGCAAAUGCGUAAGUAUAUCACCAGGGGAGUACUGAUUAAUCGAAGAAACCCAAAACAAUAGACGGUUUGAGUGUUAACAGUGGAUUAUGUUAUUUAAU